rnacentral:rRNA from 1 species
AGUGAACGCUGGCGGCAGGCCUAACACAUGCAAGUCGAGCGGCAGCGGGUCCUUCGGGAUGCCGGCGAGCGGCGGACGGGUGAGGAAUACAUCGGAAUCUGCCCUGUCGUGGGGGAUAACCUAGGGAAACUUAGGCUAAUACCGCAUACGACCUACGGGUGAAAGCGGGGGAUCGCAAGACCUCGCGCGACAGGAUGAGCCGAUGUCCGAUUAGCUAGUUGGCGGGGUAAAGGCCCACCAAGGCGACGAUCGGUAGCUGGUCUGAGAGGAUGAUCAGCCACACUGGGACUGAGACACGGCCCAGACUCCUACGGGAGGCAGCAGUGGGGAAUAUUGGACGAUGGGCGCAAGCCUGAUCCAGCCAUGCCGCGUGGGUGAAGAAGGCCUUCGGGUUGUAAAGCCCUUUUGUCCGAAGAAAUCGUCUGGGCUAAUACCCCGGGCGGAUGACGGUACCGGAAGAAUAAGCACCGGCUAACUUCGUG